GAAGGAUGGUGGCCAGAAACGAGAUUUAACCAAAAAAAUACCAGCCGCGAAUGUGUCAAUGUAAAACAUUAACAGAGACAAAACACACGUACGCACAGUACGAAUACUAUGUACUUACCACCCUUUCAAGUUUAUUCUUUAUGAAGGGCAUUGUCUUCUUUCGGAAAGUGAUACAGAUGAUAUACUCGGUGUCGACUGUUGUUACUAUAGACGUAAAUAUUUUCUCACCGAACCAAUCUCUGCAAGUUUAUCACAUAAAUUCCUGAAGUAAACUACACAAGAAAACGCAGGUAUCUGGGAAUACGACGUCGCACAAAUAUAGCAAGUUCGAUAAUGAUAUAGAGAUACGUACAUCCAUAGAAAAUUAUAAGAAGAACUAUAAGAUUAAAUUGGAAAAUUAAGACUGAGGCGUUUACGGGAUAAUACACCAUGUUCGGUUUUCUACGGUAGUCGACAGGCGAGUAAAUCUGCGUAAAAUUUGGUUUUCCCAAGAUUCGUUAGAAGUUCCGAGAUAAGGAUGGGGGUAGCACACAGUUUGGAAUGUUUGCAAAUUCAUUGGAUGAGAAAGAAUUGAUGGAAGAAGGAGGUGAACGCUCACGUCUAUUGGUUACCUUGAAAUUAUAAUUGACCAAUUCAAUUAGCCUUCAAAACACGUAAAGUCGGGGAAAAUUGCAGGUGACAAUAUUUUUACACAAAAAGUCGCUAUUUUAUAUUAAAUAAUUUUUUUAAUUCCAUGUUCUUGAAAUCUUAAUAAUAAAAUGUGUUUUAUAGCAUUGUCUGCCAGAAGACAAACGCUACCCCACCAUCCUAUACCAUUCCCAUGGUACAGAAACGCUGCUGAUUGUAAGAUUAUAACCAAUCCACUCCGAUUGUCGAUUCCUCCCUAAAUUAUGUUGUCGUUUGUCUGUUGCUUUUCCUUGAUAACGAGCGAACAUGCCGUGUGACCGAACACGGAGCCGUUGGAGGACCGCUUUUCUUCAUCUUCGCUAGUAAACAAUUCACAGACAAUUAGUAAAUAUGUUAUAGUUGCCAGAUAAUGUCUUUAAUCAACUUCAGAAAGGAGAAUGUUACCCAUUUAAUAUUUAUUCUUUUUAUAUAAAUUCGUCGGUUAUUCUGCCAAGGAUAAUUUAAUCAAUAUUAAAUCUUUUACAUUUUAUAAAGAACUGAAGGUUGUGA
rnacentral:misc_RNA from 1 species